AAGAGUUGGAUGCUUAACCACCUGAGCCACCAAGGUGCCCCUGUCUCUUGUGUUACUUGUGCUAUUUCUCACUCAUGCUGUCUUAUUACCUGUCUUUGUGUGCUGGACAUCAUAAUUGAAAUACUUGAAGAAAUAAUGCUGUCUCCCUUUAUCGAGAAACAACCCCAAUUACAUGGAAUCCAGGAACAGAAAUACCUGGGGUGAAGUUCUAAACUACCUCUGCACUAGGCUCCGAUAAUGAUAAGGACACUCAAGAUCAAAGAGAUUAAGAAAGAGUCCAAGGCAAUCCAGCUGAGAGGAGGCUCAGUAAAAAUCCCAACCCAGCCUGAGUUGACUCCAUAACCCCUUUCUCCACAUCCCACACUGCCUCUCCCCAAACCAGCAAUGUUGCCAGUUUCAACAAAUCAACCAAAGUGUGACCAUUUGCUGGGCCUGCCACUGUGGCAGCUGGCUGCCGGACAAUUGAUGACCUUGCCUGGCAGGUGCUAUGAAUGUUUAACUCAGCCAGAAACUCGGUGGUCCGUCUUGGGGACAGACUCUGAUCCAGCGUGUGGCCGGCGAUGUGACUGAGGGCAGAGAAGGCCACCAGACUGGUAAGUGCCCUCCUUGCUGACUCCCGAAGGCAAACUACAGAGGCAGGCCCCUUGAAGAGCUGCCGUAACCACAAGCCAGAGGGCAGCCCCUUAUUUGUGCCCAACGUGGAAAAAUUGUUAGUCACGCACCAGUCAUUUCAGGAACACCUGCACGUUCCUGGCCUUUGAGCACAAAUUGAAGACCGACUUUGAAUUCAGACAUUGAAGUUAUUCACAUGGACUGCUCUACAAUCUACAGAAGUGAGAGGGAGAGCCAGAAGUAGAAGCUAUAGGUUAUGAUCCCCGCGUGUCUUUUGUUAGUUCCCUGAAGAAAUCAGAAGGGAGAUAGUACGUGUGGUGGGGGAGGCAGAGAUCCCAGGGGUGCACAACAAUAUCCAAUUAUUUUAUAAAGAUAAAUCGUGACAUCAAUCUUAGCUCAAAAAUACCUUCCUG